rnacentral:rRNA from 1 species
AUUGAACGCUGGCGGCAGGCCUAACACAUGCAAGUCGAGCGAGCGGCGGACGGGUGAGUAAUGUAUGGGGACUGCCCGCUAGAGGGGGCUAACUACUGGCAACGGUGGCUAAUACCGCAUACUAUCGGAGACCCCAUAUGGGAUUAGCUAGUAGGUGGGGUAAAGGCUCACCUAGGCGACGAUCGCUAGCUGGUCUGCGAGGAUGAUCAGCCAACCGGGGACUGAGACAAGGCCCAGACUCCUACGGAGGCAGCAGUGGGGAAUAUUGCACAAUGGGCGCAGGCCGGAUGCAGCCAUGCCGCGUGUAUGAAGAAGGCCUUAGGGGUGUAAAGUACUUUCAGCGGGGAGGCGUUACCCGCAGAAGAAGCACCGGCUAACUCCGUGCCAGCAGCCGCGGUAAUUC